rnacentral:rRNA from 2 species
AAAUGCGGAAGAGAUAAGUGCUGAAAGCAUCUAAGCACGAAACUUGCCCCGAGAUGAGUUCUCCCUGAGACUUUAGGUCUCCUGAAGGAACGUUGAAGACGACGACGUUGAUAGGCCGGGUGUGUAAGCGCAGCGAUGCGUUGAGCUAACCGGUACUAAUGAACCGUGAGGCUUAACCUUACAACGCCGAAG